rnacentral:tRNA from 1 species
UGUUCUAUGGCUUAGUGCCAUAAGCAUCGUUCUGCGAAUACGAAUUCGUGGGUUCGAGUCCCACCAGAACGU